UUAGAGUUUGAUCCUGGCUCAGGAUGACCUUUAGCGGCAGGCUUAACACAUGCAAGUCGAGGGGCAGCAUGUCCAGCAAUGGAUGAUGGCGACCGGCGGAAGGGUGCGUAACGCGUGAGCAACAUGCCCUAUACAGGGAGAUACACCAAGGAAACUUGGUCUAAUAUCCCAUAGCAUUCAUUGAAGGCAUCUUUAAUGAAUUAAAGCUUCGGUGGUAUAGGAUUGGCUCGCGUGACAUUAGCCAGAUGGUGAGGUAACGGCUCACCAUAGCAAUGAUGUCUAGGGGUUUUGAGAGGAAGGCCCCCCACACUGGGACUGAGACACGGCCCAGACUCCUACGGGAGGCAGCAGUGAGGAAUAUUGGACAAUGGAUGGAAAUCUGAUCCAGCCAUGCCGCGUGCAGGAAGACGGCCUUAUGGGUUGUAAACUGCUUUUAUACGGGAGCAAUAAGGGUUACGAGUAAUCCGAUGAGAGUACUGUAUGAAUAAGGAUCGGCUAACUCCGUGCCAGCAGCCGCGGUAAUACGGAGGAUCCGAGCGUUAUCCGGAUUUAUUGGGUUUAAAGGGUACGUAGGCGGGAUGAUAAGUCAGCGGUGAAAUUUUGCAGCUUAACUGUAAGCUUGCCGUUGAAACUAUUAUUCUUGAGUGUAGAUAAGGUAGGCGGAAUGUGUUGUGUAGCGGUGAAAUGCUUAGAUAUAACACAGAACACCAAUUGCGAAGGCAGCUUACCGGGUUACCACUGACGCUGAGGUACGACAGCGUGGGGAUCAAACAGGAUUAGAUACCCUGGUAGUCCACGCCGUAAACGAUGAAUACUCGCUGUUUGCGAUAUAGUGCAAGCGGCCAAGCGAAAGCAUUAAGUAUUCCACCUGGGGAGUACGUUCGCAAGAAUGAAACUCAAAGGAAUUGACGGGGGCCCGCACAAGCGGAGGAACAUGUGGUUUAAUUCGAUGAUACGCGAGGAACCUUACCCGGGCUUGAAAUGCAAUCGACUGACUUGGAAACAGGUCAUCCAGCAAUGGCGAUUGUGUAGGUGCUGCAUGGUUGUCGUCAGCUCGUGCCGUGAGGUGUCGGCUUAAGUGCCAUAACGAGCGCAACCCUUGCCGUUAGUUGCCAUCAGGUCAAGNNGGAGACUUUAAUGAGACUGCCACCGUAAGGUGUGAGGAAGGGGGGGAUGACGUCAAAUCAGCACGGCCCUUAUGUCCGGGGCGACACACGUGUUACAAUGGGAGGUANNGAGGGCAGCUAUCCGGUGACGGAAUGCUAAUCUCCAAAACCUUUCUCAGUUCGGAUUGGAGUCUGCAACUCGACUCCAUGAAGGUGGAUUCGCUAGUAAUCGCGCAUCAGCCAUGGCGCGGUGAAUACGUUCCCGGGCCUUGUACACACAACCCGUCAAG
rnacentral:rRNA from 1 species